GAGAGAGAGGAUUUUCUUAUUUUUCAAAACAAAAAGCAAGGUUUGGAGUAAUGAUUUUAGGAAGAGAAGAAUUGUGAGUAGGAGAAUAAAACAAGGAAAUAGUGUUGUUUUAUUUCAUUAAGGAUCCGAAUAGGUUGUACGUGAUAGCUUGGAUCGUAUAAGGGUUUGUGUAGACUUUUGCUGGUAGUCAAGAUUAAAGAUGUCAUAAAGUGUGAGUUUCUGUUUAGCUUUGGGGAAUAAAGAAUAAAAGAAGUUAGCUGGGAAGAUUGGCUAAGAGAGAAAAAAAAAAUUAGUUUAGUAACUAUUUGAUUGUAUGUUUUGUUUGAAAGAUUUUUCUUUUUUGUA